GCGUGGAUGGCCGAGUGGUAGGCCUUCAUUAUUGGCGGAUAACUGAAGUAUGUAGGUUCGAAUCCUACUCCAUGCACCA
rnacentral:tRNA from 1 species